ensembl:lncRNA
AGGAGGGACCUUUUAAGUUAAGUUUGCUACAGUUGUUUAGUGUGUAAGUUCAAAACAGACACAGCAGCAGUGGACUAUGUAGCAGUGUGUUCUGAAGAAGUAAUGUCCUUGCCUUCACAGAGGGGUGGUGGUUCUUCAUUUUCUGAAUUUUAUUUUUUAGGAGUUCCUUGAAUCAGUACAAGACUUGGAAUCUGGGACAAAGAAUCGGACAGCUGUCAAGAAAAAUAAUCUGCUGGCCUAUUGUAGCUUCAGUGAUAUGGCACUUCUGGAGAUGUUUGAGAUUGCAGAGAGGCACUUGAAAGGAAGGGAGUCCUGGUUGUGGGACUUGGGGCCUUUGCUGUGGUCCAAGAGCAAUUCCACAGCAAAGAAGGGGUGGCCAUGGUUCGAAGACCUGUCUUUCAUCUGGACAUCAGUGCACAGUGGCUGCAGGACUUCUGGUCUCCCACUGAGAUCAUCCCUGGUGAGAAGGCAGCAGCUACCUUCUUCCCCUUCUGGCCCAAUGUCCGGCAGGGUGUGUUCUCCCCACUCUUUGGAAAGGGCUGGGAGAAGCAGAGAACUGUCUGCCAAGGUGCCGGUACAGCUCAAGUUCCUCCAAAAGAACCUGCACCCCAAGAGCUGUUUCUCUAAAGGACCUUUUCUCUGGGAUUUGGUUACAAAUGUUGCAUGGAAAUGUGGCUUGCUGUGGCAGUGAGGAUGUUCCUUCUCCUUACAGACGAUGUCAAGAUGGAGCCGCUGAACUACCGGCAGCUCUUGCAAGCUACCGCCAUCCUGCUGCACGUGGUGCAGAGCUGCAUGCAAGAGACCAUCCUCUUGUACUGUCUUCUCCUGAGCAACAAGGUGCACAUCCCAUUCGCCUUCCAUGGGAUCGGCAUCCUGCUGUGUGAAGAUAACCUCCUUUGCAUGAGGUUCUAUCACAGCUGUGUGAUGAUGGAGGGGACUGCAAGCCUGGUUGCACUGCUCCACAGUGUAAGCUGAGGGGGUUUUGAGG